rnacentral:tRNA from 1 species
UGGGAUUUAGCUCAGCGGCAUAAGCACCUGCCUUGCAAGCAGGCGGUCGUGAGUUCAAUUCUCAGUACCAG